rnacentral:lncRNA from 1 species
CCAAAUUAUCCUCUAAAAAGUGAAACUAGAAUGGGCAUUAGAGUAAAAUAACAUUCCAUGCUAGUUGGGUUGGUUACAUAUUUUCUUGUGAUUUCUUUUUUCUUUUUGAAUUUCUCUUAUUUUGUAUGGGGGAACCGAAUGAAACAUUAAAUUGAGUUUAUUUUUGACUUUUCUGGCUUUUCCAAUUUGUGGCUGAGCUGGUGCUACGAUCUUCAUCGGCGGCGGGUCCACAUGAUUAACUCGGCCUCUCUUCGUCGGCUCUGCUCCGGUCACGGCCAUGUCUCCACGUCUUCGAUUGUCUCCACCAUAGGUAGCUUCCUUUCUCAAUUCUCAGAUAGCGAUUGAUCCCCAUACGUCAAUCUUCACUCGGUUCGCUCCUCCACUUCGGCUCUCAUGUCCAAGUCGUCUCCUCCUCAUCGUGCGCGGCUCCUCUCCUGACGUCGUGACCUCUGGUGUACCGUAGAUAGACGCCGUUUGUUCCGAGUUCGAGAUCGCCAUUGUUGAACCUUGAGAUCAAGUUUUGUGAAUUUUCAGCUUUUGUCCUUGUAGUUUUAAUUAUUUUCACUUUCACCUCAAAACUUGCAGAAUUACAUUUUAAGUCCUGUUGAAUUAACUCCAAACUUUUAAAUUCUGAACAGAUCUUCCAUAUUGGCACGAACGAUCCUUGAAAAUCUGAGAUAUAACCUCUUAAUAUAGC